rnacentral:rRNA from 1 species
UAAUACGAAGGGGGCUAGCGUUGUUCGGAUUUACUGGGCGUAAAGCGCGCGCAGGCGGCCAAUCAAGUCAGGGGUGAAAGCCCAGAGCUCAACUCUGGAACUGCCUUUGAGACUGUUUGGCUUCGAGUACGGGAGAGGUGAGUGGAAUUCCCAGUGUAGAGGUGAAAUUCGUAGAUAUUGGGAAGAACACCGGUGGCGAAGGCGGCUCACUGGCCCGUUACUGACGCUCAGGCGCGACAGCGUGGGGAUCAAACAGGAUUAGAUACCCUGGUAGUCCACGCCGUAAACGAUGGACGCUAGCCGUUGGCAAGCUUGCUUGUCAGUGGCGCAGCUAACGCAUUAAGCGUCCCGCCUGGGGAGUACGGCCGCAAGGUUG